AAACAAGAGUUGGUGAUGUACCAUGGUUGGGAAGAUGGUUUUCCCAGGGUGAGGUUCACCCAUUGCACUUCACCUGUGCUGACCCCUGUGAUUUCCCCAAAUGUGGGAAACUCAACUGCAUAGUCUGUGGUAGUGGGGUCUGCGUUUGCGCUCUCCCCUG